rnacentral:rRNA from 1 species
GUUGAACGCUGGCGGCAUGCCUUACACAUGCAAGUCGAACGGCAGCAUGAUCUAGCUUUCUAGAUUGAUGGCGAGUGGCGACCGGGUGAGUAAUACAUCGGAACUUGCCCUGUGGGGGGGGAUAACUAGUCGAAAGAUUAGCUAAUACCGCAUACGACCUGAGGGUGAAAGUGGGGGACCGCAAGGCCUCAUGCUAUAGGACCGGCCGAUUUCUGAUUAGCUAUUUGGUGGGGUAAAGGCCCACCAAGGCGACGAUCAGUAGCUGUUCUGAGAGGACGAGGAGCCAACCUGGGACUGGAGAACGGCCCAGACUCCUCAGGGGGGAAGGAGUGGGGAAUUUUGGCAAAUGGGGGCAAUCCUGAUCCAGCAAUGCCGCGUGUGUGAAGAAGGCCUUCGGGUUUUAAAGCACUUUUGUACGGAAAGAAAUCGCACUUACUAAUAUUAGGUGUGGAUGACGGUACCGGAAGAAUAAGGACCGGCUAACUACGUG